GGUGAAUGUGUCAUGAUUCUGCCUUCAUGUCCCGACUUUUCUCUAGUCUUGAGGCAGGAUCAUGACAGACCCGUGUUUUGUGUACAAGCACAUGGCCUUGUCUUUGGGCCAUGUGCUUGUGUUGUCUCAUUCCCUUGCCCCGCCCCCCUUGUUAUCCUAGUCUUGUUGUGAUUGCCGUAUCUGUGCCACCUGUCGUGUCUUAAUUGUUCCCCUAUUUAGAUCUCCUAGUGUGCUCUGUCUUUCGUCGGUUCAUUGUUCUACUUAUGUGUUCCUACAUGUCAUUCUCCUGAGAUACCUUGUCCUAGAAACCCCUCGAAGAAGUCUUUGUCUUGCAGUGAGUGUUUGUUAGUAUUUAGUGUUCAGAGUCUUUGUUUACCUUGUUUAUUGUGUUUUGUAGAAUUCUUUUAUGUUCACCCUAGCCCUUGUUUUCCCCCUCGUGGGUUUUGUUUUUCCCCUUUUUGUAUAAUAAAUCUUGUGUUCAGUA